GCACUGCUGAGGAGUCUCGCAAUAAGACGAAACGGCCGUCCAGCAC
rnacentral:hammerhead_ribozyme from 1 species